UUGAAAAGUAAAGUUCGUACAAGGUUUCCGUAGGUGAACUGCGGAAGGAUC
rnacentral:rRNA from 1 species